rnacentral:rRNA from 1 species
GACGAACGCUGGCGGCGUGCUUAACACAUGCAAGUCGAACGGUAAGGCCCAGCUUGCUGGGUACACGAGUGGCGAACGGGUGAGUAACACGUGGGUGAUCUGCCCUGCACUCUGGGAUAAGCCUGGGAAACUGGGUCUAAUACCGGAUAUGAGCUUCUGCCGCAUGGUGGGGGUUGGAAAGGUUUACUGGUGCAGGAUGAGCCCGCGGCCUAUCAGCUUGUUGGUGGGGUAAUGGCCUACCAAGGCGACGACGGGUAGCCGGCCUGAGAGGGGGACCGGCCACACUGGGACUGAGACACGGCCCAGACUCCUACGGGAGGCAGCAGUGGGGAAUAUUGCACAAUGGGCGAAAGCCUGAUGCAGCGACGCCGCGUGAGGGAUGACGGCCUUCGGGUUGUAAACCUCUUUCAGCAUCGACGAAGCGCAAGUGACGGUAGAUGCAGAAGAAGCACCGGCCAACUACGUGCCAGCCGCCGCCGUAACAC